rnacentral:rRNA from 1 species
UCCCAGGNUCAACCUGGAACUGCCUUAAAACUNUUAGUCUGAGAUCGAGAGAGNUGAGUGGAAUUCCAAGUGUAGAGGUGAAAUUCGUAGAUAUUGGAGNACACCAGUGGCGAAGGCGGCUCACUGNCUCGAUAUNGACGNUGAGGUACGAAAGUGUGGGAGCAAACAGGAUUNGAUNCCCUGUUNUUCCACNCNNNAAACGANNAUUNCCAGACGUCAGCAAGCAUGCUUGUUGGUGUCACACCUAACGGAUUAAGCNUUCCGCCUGGGGAGUACGGUCGCAAGAUUAAAACUCAAAGGAAUUGACGGGGGCCCGCACAAGCGGUGGAGCAUGUGGUUUAAUUNGACGCAACGCGCAGAACCUUACCAACCCUUGACAUACUUGUCGCGGAUUCCAGAGAUGGAUUCCUUCAGUUCGGCUGGACAAUGUACAGGUGCUGCAUGGCCNUCGUCAGCUCGUGUCGUGAGAUGUUCGGUUAAGUCCGNCAACGAGCGCAACCCACGUCNUUAGUUACCAGCAUUUAGUUGGGUACCCUANGGAGACUGCCGGUGAUAAGCCGGAGGAAGGUGUGGANGANGUCANGUCAUCAUGNCCNUUACGGGUUNGGCUACACACNUGCUACAAUGGCAUCUACAGUGAGUUAAUNUCCAAAAGAUGUCUCAGUUCGGAUUGGGGUCUGCAACUCGACCCCAUGAAGUUGGAAUCGCUNGUAAUCGCGGAACAGCAUGNCGCGNUGAAUACGUUCCCGGGCCUNGUACACACNGCCCGUCACACCA